CCCGGCUCACUGCAAGCUCCGCCUUCCGUGUUCACUCCAUUCUCUGUGGCCCAGGCUGGAGUGCAGUGGCGCAAUCUCGGCUCACUGCAAGCUCCGCCUUCCGUGUUCACUCCAUUCUCUGUCGCCCAGGCUGGAGUGCAGUGGCGCAACCUCGGCUCACUGCAAGCUCCGCCUUCCGGGUUCCCGCCAUUCUCCUGCCUCAGCCUCCAGAGUAGCUGGGACUACAGGCGCCCGCCACCACGCCCGGCUAAUUUUUUGUAUUUUUAGUAGAGACGGGGUUUCACCGUGGUCUCGAUCUCGUGACCUCUUGAUCCGCCCGCCUCGGCCUCCCAAAGUGCUGGGAUUACAGGCGUGAGCCACCGCGCCCGGCGCAGGGCGUGCCCAGGGCUUCUGAUGCCAGAGCCCAGGAAUGAGCUUUUGCCUUUUGGAUUCAGGGCUUCCCUGUACUCUCACAGAGUCAGAAUGGCCGUAUGUUUACAUGUGAAGCCCUGGGGCUCCCUGGCCCCUUCCUGGGCCGUUCUCCACCUUUUCUCUUCUCACCCUUUGCUGUUCCCUGAGUCAUGCAAUCCAUAGUGAAGAGGCCAGAGGCCCGGAUGGGGAAGUGCCGGGGGCAGCCGUGGCAGCUUCAUCACAGAGUUUGGCUUUGAAUGCAGCUGCUUAAUCUACUGACUAUCUGCCGACUUGAACACAGUUGCCGUUCUCCCCUGAAGUGACAGAUUAAGUUUGUGGAGCAGGUUGAAUGUGUCACACAAACUUUGAAUGUUUGAGACUACCUUGGCCACCAGAUUGUGUUACCUGGAAGUUUGGUCCCAAGCAAGAAGCCACAGGGAGAGACAGCGAGGCAACUCUAUGCACAUGCAAUGAACACUGAGACUGAUAUCACUGAGACUUUCAGAGGACAAUGGACUCAUUAUGGAUCUCACAUCUUUCCUAGACUCUGUUCUUUGCUCUUGGGUCUUCUCUACUCAGACUACCUGCCCCCAAAUGCUCCAUCCUCACCAAAAUAUAAAGAUUGAGAAGAAAGUGGGACAAAGGGUGUGGAAUAAAAAAUGUAAGAUUGGCUAUCACCCCAAGGUGAUCAAAUCUAAUGUUGGCUUUGCUCCAGCGGAUCUGUGACCAAUUUUGUAUCAGUCCCAGAGCACAGCGAGCCUGUUCAGGCUCUUGUAAGUGAGGACCUGUGGUUGAAGAGUAAAAUUUUUGUGACUUUAAUCCUUCUUUUCUCCAGACUGGAGGGUCAUGAUGGUACAGUGGGAAUACCUUGGGCCUGGCUGCCAGGCCGACCUGCACAAAGAUGGUUGUCCCUGUGGGAGGGGCACAGACAUUGUGCAGGUUGCACACAAAAACAGAACUAGGGUCUCUGGCAGCGGAAAUGAGUCAUACAGAGAGCCGUUUAGAGGUUUCUCAAUACAGUUCUUGGGCUUAUUAAGGUUGAGUAAUGGCAAUUAGUGUGGAGGCAAAUUGGAACAACAGUGACAGUGUUGAUUAUGAAGCAAAUGAAGAAGCUCAAAAGGAAGGCAUUUUCUUGGAGUGCCUCAAAGAAUUCUGCCCUUUAAUUAUCUGCCCUCUCAGUGUAGAGAGAGUGAGAUAUCACUGGAAAACACUGGAGGGCCAUUUGUGGUGACACAGAAGCCUCUCAUACAGACAGGAAGCAAAUGAAUGGCAGGGGAUGUGAGUUUGGAUGGAAGGGCUGUCAUGGGGAUUCAGAUUGGAUUCUAGAGUCAGGUGCAUUGUGGUCCUUGCCUGAUGCAGGAGGUUUGGACUCAGAUUUUUCUGAAGACAACAUAAGCAGAGAAACAAGGUGUGAAGACAAGCUUGUUUGAGGAUGUUGGCACCAUGACAAAGUUAUUUACUGUACCCCAUCCCAGUGCCCAGAUGAACAAUAUGAACAUGAUAGGGAUGCAGUUCACAUGUGUUCCAUUUUAGAGUUUGCUUUAAAAAUUUAUAUCCAUGUCAUAACCUUCUGAUUAGGAUUUGAGAGAACUGAUUGUCAAAGUGAACUAUAUUUUUAGGAAAGUGUUAUUUUAUAUUAUUCUGAUGCUAUAAAAGCCAAGAUUGCUAAACUGAAGGACUCUGUAACGUGAGAAGCAUAUCAUAUUCUAAGUAUCCCUAAGGUGUCUCUCUUGACCUCAGCACUAACAGCUGGUAAUGGCAGGGAUUGCUGUUAUUUCACAUGUGACCCACGAUGGUGAGACAUACUCACCCACCCAGGGCGAGGGGGAAGAGGGGAGAUUGCCACAUAUUUCCAGCUGGCAUAGCAAUUGUAGUAUUAAGAAGGUGAAAGAUUCAUAUCUAAUCAAAUAACCUCAGAUAAGUGUGUCCUGGGCUGUUGUCCCUGUGGCUUUAACAAGUCACUUGGUGAUGCACAAACUGAAUGCAGCUGAACUCUGCCCAGGGCUGUGAUGACUGCUUUUCAUAGCUUUGAAUUCUAUUAAAAACCAGAAUGAAAAUGCUUCUUGUAAAAUGCUUGUCUUUUAAAAACGUAAACAAGAUGAUAUAAUUUAUCCAGAGUUGAGGAAAUAUAUCCAGUUUAAAUUUUAUAUACAUUUAAAGGCAGCCUACAUAUAACAUAGAAAUGAGCUAUCUAUCUAUCUAUCUAUCAUCAUCAUCGUCAUUGUCAUCGUCAUCAUCAUCAUCAUCACCUAUUGUAUUUGUUUUUGCUCUGUAAGUUACCACACACUUAGUGGUUUAAAUCAUCGCCUAAUUAUUCUCUCACAGUUCCCUAAUUCAGAAGCCUGUGGAGGCUCAGCUGGGCUCUCUGCUCAGUGUCUCACAAGGCUGAAAUCAAGGAGUCGGCCCAAUAAGGCUCUUCCCUGGAGGCUUGGAGGAUGAAUCCCUUUCAAGUUUCUUCAGGUGGUUGACAAAACCCAGUUUCUCACAAUUGUAAGACUAAAGCACCUGCGUCCUUGUUGUAUGUUGGCCAGGGGUUGUUCUCAGCUGCUGGAGUUUCCCUCAGCUCCUGAAAGCUUCUGUCUUAUCCCUGAAUGUGGCCCUGUUCUAAAAUACGGUGUAUUAAUAGAAAAUUUGAGACUCAGUAAAGCCAACAGAUUGUGAGAUAAUUGCCAUUAAAAAAUACAGUUUGUUGGUCACAGUCCCCAGAGGAGCAAGUUACACCACAUCACAGGUGGCCACCAGGUGGGUCAGGAGGGAGAGGGAGCAGGAGAAAUGUGGGCAAGAGCCUUGACUGUGGUUUUCAUCAGGAGGGAACAGGUGAGGCAGGGCAGCAUGCUCCAGAUUGGUGAGUUUGAAUAAUUUCAGCAGGCUCUGAAGCGUAGGGGCUGUCUCUAGUUGUGGGACCAGUGCAAUUUUCCCAUAGAACUGAAGCUUUAGAAACUUACAUUUGUUUUAUCUGAGUUCCUUUCUCAGGAAACUAAUAGGCCAUCCAGAUAGUACAAUAUCAGGAAACUGAAAUUUCCCAGAUCACUGUAUCUGGACAGUAAGAUGCACCUGCUGCCUGCUAAAAAAAACUCCUCUUUCUUAUGCCUCCUUAAUUCCCUGCUAUGUAAACCCUUUAAUCAGUUAGAGAUUAAUUUGAGAUUGAUGUUCUGUUUCUGGCUGACGUCACCAGCAUUAAAGUCUUUCUUUCCUGGCAACACUUGUUGUCUCAGUGAUUGGCUUUCUGUGUGGUGAGCAACUGGACCUAAGCUGAACCCCUAGUGUUUUGGCAGCAGUUGUCUGAUACCUGGCCUUGGGAUGAUUAGGGCAGGGGUGCAUAGUGGUCUUCUGUGAAAAAAGGGGGUGAUUGAGGGUAUGUGCUCUGGAUCGGUUGAUUUGCAUUUAAAAGGCAUAUUUCAGGUGAGCUGUUUGCUAUGUUUAGAACUGGUUAACCCUGGGAAGGGCAGUCUCUCCAGAGUCAGCAAGGCCCCAGAUGUUAAAGCAUUAGAAUACAGAAAAUAAAAGACAUGAUUAAUACAGUCACCUCCAUUUUCAAAGCCAGCAACCGUGCAUGGAAUUCUUCUCAUGCCUUGAUUCUCUCUGACUUCUCAUUCUGCCCCCAUCCAGAGAAAACUCUGUUGUUCAGGGCUCAUGUGUUUAGACUAGACCCACCUGGAUAACCUCCCUUCCAAGUAACUCAGAGUCAACCAUUAAAUAACCUUAAUUACAUCUGUAAAUUUUCUUUUGCCAUGUGCAUGCUGUAGUCAUGGGAUGAUAUCCCAUUGUAUUCACAGUCCUGGAGAUUAGGGUAGAUUAAAUUAAGGCAUUGGCAGGCCAUGUUGGGAUUCCAUAUAUAUAUAUAUAUAUAUAUAUAUAUAUAUAUAUAUAUAUAUGGAAGAUAUGAAAGAAUUAUAUAUAUAGGAAAAUAUGGAAAAAUUAUAUAUAUAUAAAAAUAUAUAUAUAGUGUUUGAUCAUUGAAGAACAU
rnacentral:lncRNA from 1 species